GGCUAAGUGGUCUAGGGGUAUGAUUCGCGCUUCGGGUGCGCGAGGUCCCGGGUUCGAAUCCCGGCUUAGCCC